GACGAACGCUGGCGGCGUGCCUAAUACAUGCAAGUCGAGCGGAGUUUUUAAAAGCUUGCUUUUAAAAACUCAGCGGCGGACGGGUGAGUAACACGUGGGCAACCUGCCCUGUAGACUGGGAUAACUUCGGGAAACCGAAGCUAAUACCGGAUAAUCAUAGAAGUUGCAUAGCUUCUAUGUAAAAGUUGGGUUUACCUAACACUACAGGAUGGGCCCGCGUCGCAUUAGCUAGUUGGUAAGGUAACGGCUUACCAAGGCGACGAUGCGUAGCCGACCUGAGAGGGUGAUCGGCCACACUGGGACUGAGACACGGCCCAGACUCCUACGGGAGGCAGCAGUAGGGAAUCUUCCGCAAUGGACGAAAGUCUGACGGAGCAACGCCGCGUGAGCGAUGAAGGCCUUCGGGUCGUAAAGCUCUGUUGUUAGGGAAGAACAAGUGCUAUUCGAAUAGGGUGGCACCUGGACGUACCUAACGA
rnacentral:rRNA from 1 species